rfam:Triticum urartu cultivar G1812 contig1086914, whole genome shotgun sequence.
UUUCUACUCCCUCCGUCCAAAAAUACUUGUCAUCAAAAUGGAUACAAAGAGAUGUAUCUAAAACUAAAAUACAUCUAGAUACAUUUUCUUUUAUCCAUUUUGAUGACAAGUAUUUCCGAACGGAGGGAGUAUUUG